rnacentral:rRNA from 1 species
UAGGGAAUCUUCGGCAAUGGACGAAAGUCUGACCGAGCAACGCCGCGUGAGUGAAGAAGGUUUUCGGAUCGUAAAACUCUGUUGUUAGAGAAGAACAAGGACGUUAGUAACUGAACGUCCCCUGACGGUAUCUAACCAGAAAGCCACGGCUAACUACGUGCCAGCAGCCGCGGUAAUACGUAGGUGGCAAGCGUUGUCCGGAUUUAUUGGGCGUAAAGCGAGCGCAGGCGGUUUCUUAAGUCUGAUGUGAAAGCCCCCGGCUCAACCGGGGAGGGUCAUUGGAAACUGGGAGACUUUAGUGCAGAAGAGGAGAGUGGAAUUCCAUGUGUAGCGGUGAAAUGCGUAGGUAUAUGGAGGAACACCAGUGGCGAAGGCGGCUCUCUGGUCUGUAACUGACGCUGAGGCUCGAAAGCGUGGGGAGCAAACAGG